UUCCUGAUGGUCCAAUGGUUAAGAUUCUGUGCUUCCAAUGCAGAGGUUGUGGGUUUGAUCCCCAGUUGGGGAA
rfam:Ovis aries breed Texel chromosome 17, whole genome shotgun sequence.